rnacentral:piRNA from 1 species
UGGUGUGAAUGUACAGUGGCACAAAUGCU